CCAAGCUCGAGCGCGCCACCACCUCCUGCCGACCGCCCCCCUCCCCGGCACCGCGCGCCGCCACGAACGCCGCAGCCGUUGGCGGCUCCCCCCACGCCCGCCCCUGCUACUCUUCUCCGCUAUCGCCGCCUAGCCCCGCUGCCUCCUCUCCACCGGCGGGAUUCGCCGCUACCGGCCACCACCGCUCACCCCAAGCCCUCACCGUGUCGUCGGCGUGGCUUCGGUGACUCCUCCCCUGCUCCUACCUCGCCCCACAUGUAGCUCGACCCACUGGAUGGAGCUCCUCCGCCCGGUCGCCAUGGCCAUGGGGUGCUCAAGCUCCUCCUCCGAUCAGUUCACCCCCUCCUCUCUCUCUCUCCUCCUCCUCCCUCUCUCUCUCUCUCUAAACUCAGCUCUGUUCUUCUAUUCUAGAUGUGCAGGGAGGAACAUUUCAUGGACAAUGAGGAGAUAUGCAAACCACGCCAUGACCUGAAGGUCCCUGUCAUGAAACCCUCUUCCCCUUUUCCCUGUAUAGUGAUGCUCCAUAUUGCUUGAUAUGAUUUUGGUCAAUCUUCACUUGAGCCGAGCUAGCUGCUGGAGCUGGACUUAUUUUGUGAAAUGGUGUUUCCGACGCCAUGCUGCUGCUGUCCCUCGGUUUGCUCUGCAGACGGGUACUGGAACUACUUGUCGCCAAGGAUGGAGAGCUACAGCGGUGUGCUCGCCAAGGCCAUCGACGUGGGCACCAACCACCUCGUCAAAGGCAUCGUCGUGUGCAGCAAGGCCUACGCCAGCCAGUUCAAAAGGGAGCCAACGUGAUUAGUCCUCAAGCAGCCAGCGGCGCGGGCAAAACGCUUGGGCGACACCGGUGGAGCUGACAGGGAACAGCCAGGCAGGUCCGGUGAAGCGUGGAGGAGUCGACAAGAACCUCAAGAGGGUGCGGAAGUCGUGUGUCAAAGAUGAUGGAGAAGAUGAGCAAGACGAUACUGGGCAUGGUCAUCUUGGAAACAACGAUGGGACCUUGCCGCGACGAGGAAAUCUUUGAGUUACAUUACAUCGUUGGCCUUCUUCCUAUGACAGAGAAAGUUAUGGACACGGUAGAGGCUGUCGAGAGGAGUUCCCUUGCUGCAACCUCCAAUGUUAUUUCGGGUGCAGUGUCCAAGAGGUAAGAACAUGAGCACCUCAAGCCAUAUGAGACCAUUUCUCUGUUCGAAAGUCAUAUCAGCAUUUUGAACGUCGACUUCGCCAGCACGACGGCCUGCUCGCUAUGCUCCCCUCAAGGUAGGCUGUUGAAUAGUCUCUAAAAGUACUUCUAUUUAAUUCUUGACUGUAUGAGCUUAUUCCAUUCAAUUCUUGACUAUAUGUAGAAAAUAUUACCCCGUCCUCUAAAAACUUCGGAAACAAUAACAAAAGCCUUUUGAUAUCUUAGCCCCAUGCUUCUACUUUCUUAAUCCCAGAAUUGAUGAGGCCUUGGUUAGUUUGGUCUCACAGGAAUGUUCAAUUAGACUUUGAAAUACAUCAAUUGUGGAAUACAAGCUAUUGGAAAUUUGCACUUGCCUUAUGAGUGUGGCUCAUAAUUCUUCAGCAGCAUAACAUCAUAUAUGCAUUCGUAACUUGCAUCUGUAAUAUGGAUGGGCCAUGGAUGAUUUUGCCUUUCACCAAACUCAAUAGUAAAUCACGUUAUGAUGUUCUCUGUUUAAACAUGGUUAUGUACCUUCAAGAAUUCUGCAACUAAAAUAAAAACUGAUUACCUCAAGGAGAAAAUAGCAGAAUUUAUGUAUAGUAUGAUGUAAAUUUCACAUAUAUUCUCAAGUUUGCUGAUAGGUCAGCAGUAUUGCCUCGAAAAGCUACUAACGGGUCAUAAGUGCCAAACUGAAGCAGGGGCAAUUCGUGCACUUAUACAAACUGAACACAUUAUAUUUCUGAUGAAACCUUUAACAUUUAAGUUAAUCUUAAAAAUUGGAAAAUGGAUCAGCAAAUUAUUAGUUCAUUGGGAGAACCGAAUCAGAUGAAACUAAUUAUGUUGUGCUGAAUAUUCUGCAGAAGCAAGUAUUUGAGAGUAAAAUUGCAUUUUUCAUCAUCUCUGAACCCUUUUAUUCUCCACAUUUCACAUAAAUAAUGCAUCUUUCAGUUCAGAUGGCAUAGGAAAAACCAUAUGCUAGAAGAUCAUCAUGCAUCGACAUUCCGCAUCAUUGCAAUGGAAGUUAGGUGCAUUUGCUAAACAAAAGAAGCUUCCAUAGUUCCUGUGUUCAUAAUCCGUGUCACUUAAAGAGUGUGCAAUCAUGUCAAAAUUGUUAUGUCCCAAGCCAAGAGUGAAUAGACGAAAUUACUUCUAUUAUUGUGAUGUGUCUGUAGCUGCACAUAGUGUGUGUUUCAGUAGCCAUAGCAAUUCGACAGCACCACGAUCGAGAAAAAAGUGUUUUGCUAUGUGUUGCAUUUGUGGUGGUCUUACUUUAGCAUGCAACUAGCUACUAGGAUUGCAACAAUCGACAAGUACUUCCACGGAUACCAUCAGGACUAAGGUUACUCUCAAUUAAGCAGCUCACCAGAUAACUUAAAGAUUUUUUCCACAUAAAAGAAAAAUAACGAAACUCCUUUUCUAUGUAUGAACCUCAGAAGGCAACUUCUAGUAGACAUACUGCGUAACACUCCUUUUCUACUGUAUUCGCAACUCAUCGUAUUUUUUAUGAUCAAGGGUAAGAAUGUAGAUGUUGUCAACUUGACAUAAAUGCUAUACUUGCUGCAAGAAGAGUGGUGUCAACAUUAUAACAGAGAAGUAGAUGUUUGAAUUAUUCUUGAUUAUUUGUGUUAUGUUAAUAGCUCUUUAAUUUUGUUAGUCAUUCUAAAAAAUUAGGAGAUGGACUUUUGAGGGGGUCUUGGUCCAUGCUUAUUAGGCUAAGGGUGUUUGAUAUUAUUUUUUCUCCCGUUGCAACGCACGGGCCCUUUUCCUAUAAUCCUUAUCUUUAUCUUUACCUACUAAUACUAAUACUAAUACUAAUACUAAUAUACUAAUACUAAUACUAUACUAAUACUAAUACUGAUACUAAUACUAAUACUAUACUAAUACUAAUACUAAUACUAAUUACUAAUUACUAUUAUUAAUACUAAUACUAAUACACACACACACAUAUAUAUAUACACACUAAUAAAGCAGCUAUUGCUUCUGGACGUCUGUCAUUAGUACUUUUGCAAAAAAGCCCUUGAAGUUUACACAAAUCAACCCGCAGUCCAAAUCGAAUCGGUACGAAGGAAAAAAUAAACUCAGCCAUGCUCUGCCUCACGGCGCUCCGCCCCGCCCCACAACACCUCCGGCCAUGCCCCGCGCGCCGCCGGCCGCCUCCCGCCCCGCCCCGCACCGGCUCGCCGCGCGCCGUAGACCGCCUCCUUCCUCUCCCAAUCUGAUCUCCUCCUCACCCGAGACUUUCUUCGCCGUUCACGGCUCCCCUCGUCGCGACCUCGCGUGAGGUAGAGGAUGGGAGGGUGCGGCGCUGGCGGGCCGAUCUGCGCCGCCAGGACUCGCCUGACCCGCGGGACGCUCGAUCCGGUGACGCACCAGUCGCCGGUUGUCGGCCCGGCCGACCAACGAGGAGAUCGCAGCACCCUGCACCAUCAUUCUGCCUCAGCUCAUCCUUCCUCUGCGCACCCGAGCUCCUCGAUGUGUGCUGCCUGGGAGGGCUCGAGCUCGCCACUCGACCAGAGCCACACGGCCAUCCGGUCGUCGUUGCACUCGCCGCCCCCUCUGCUCCUCCACCUCAACUUCGGACGCACGUGUAUUUCUGUGCCCACCCCAUGCUACCAGAGGAAACCGCAGGCCAGUCUCUCUGGAUGACUUUUAUUUUCUGCUGAGGAUCACGAGUUUGCACAGUUUCAUGGUGUCAAAUUACUGCAUAUGUGGUGCUUCUUGUCAAUAGGGAUAGAAUUAGCUGGUUAUAGGUUGUGGAUGUUCUCAGUUAUUUUUUGCACACAAGGUGUUUGUGUGUUUGUCCGAGCCAGUUUCAGUCACAGAUCCUUGAGGUAAACUCCCACAUGAAUACAUCAUGAGAGUAACUCUCCUUCCAUAUGAUUCAAAAAAUGGUAUGAUGGUGGGACUCAAUCGGGUUGCUAGACUAAUGUGGCGUUGGUGCGUGCAUCUGGAUGUGCGUCAGUGUUCAUAGCCAGAGGAAGUGGGUUGUUGCAGGAAGAGGCGGUUAGUAUGAGUAUGUCACGAUUAGGAGAGUUCUCUUGAUCUUUAUCGGAAAAAUUGAUAGUUUCCUUGAUUUGUUUUGGUCUAGACUAGCAAAGCAGGGCACUGAUAUUUGUUUUGUGGUGUAGGAGCUUCAAGACAGCAGGGGCAGCAGGCUUCACUCAACAUAUUCAUCUAUGAUUUUCUCCCCGAUUUUGAAAUUAUUUGGCCCCUAUAGUCCCCUUGAGAAAAAUCAGAGUAUUUAUGGACUAUGCUCUAUGGGUUGACAAAUUUGAUUGCAGGGGCUGGCAAAGUAAGUGCAGUGUCACCGUUGCACAUAUAUUCAGGGCUACAUCAAACUUCAGUCAGAAGAACAUGACCAGGCAGGGUGCUUCAUGCAGUAUUGGGAGUGAGAAAGUUUGGUGUAUAAUCAGUGUCGCCUCCACUCUGCCCCGCCCCUGUGCUUUUUCCUCGAUGGAAAUGCGGGCCACCACGCCGCUCACUUCGCGUGCAACCACUUCAUCUCCAACCUGUCGUUGGAGAGCAUUGCAGACCGAGCGGACAAACGACGAGGUGUAGCAGCACAACCUUGCCUCUUCCCCUUACUCUCCUUCACAAGCGAGCCAAAGACACCCCAAGUUGUGGCACCCAUCUGAGGCCAGCCUUGCUUGGCAUACAUGGCUGCACACAUGUGAUUGGAAACAUGCAUGGAAGCUUGGGCCUAGAUAUGCAAUUAUGCCUUCCUAAGUUUUACUGAUGCAAUUUCUUUUUGAAAGAUCCCUAAAAUCAUUUACGCUUUUGCUCCUGAGAAUUGUUUACUAUUGUGAAUUGUAUCAAUGGUCGAAAUGGUCAAUUAACGACAUAGACCGAGAUAUCAUAAAACCCCUUCAGUAGAUCGACUGAAAUAUGAACAUUCUUGGCCCAAAGUUACAGGAUUGCACCAAUUAAUUGCUAACCUCUUGGUUUUAAUGAUAAUUGUUCUACCAUAUGAUUUUCUUCUACUAGCAUCCCAUCCACAAUGUCAGUUGGAAUUAUAUAUAUAUAGCUUAGACAUUUAGUGUGAUAUAUUCUGCGAGAUGUGUUCAAAUCACUGUAUUUUUCCAUGAUAUUAACAAUUUUUCUUUGAAUGUUUAAGUGAACGUUCUCUAAAAUUUCAUUCUCAGUUAAGUCUGGUCUUUCUUUGGGUAAUUUAUAUAGUAAGGUCUGCAAGAAUUGAAUGCAGAUCCACUAUUCCCCGCCUCUGUAUUUACUGCAAUGCAUAUUUACCUGGAGCUAGCAUCACAUACUGUAUGUCAAGUGCCAAGUCAGUUUUCACUAAAUACAAAUUAAAAUAUAUAUAUGAACCUUUUCAUUAGCUUUGGCUGCACGUUUCUGGAUAAUGUCAAUAUCAAUAUUUGUAAGUACUCUUAUGAACUCAUAUGAUGCAUCUCCCACUAUUUUUUAUCUGCAAGGUAUCUGACAUAGUGUUUGGACAUACUUAUUUCUGGUAGUAACUUUUCCAUUGUGAAACUAUUUCGACUACAGUAGCUUGCGGGCAAUGUGGGCUACUACAAGACCGAGACCUGCAUUAAAAGAUGAUUACAUUUAGGAGUGAAUGGUAAAGAACGUUCUGAUUUUGUUUAAAUUGCAGUAUAUGUUUGAAAAUUAUUUAUUGAUGCUCAAAGCAUAUCCUGUAGAUGAUUAUCUGGAAAAUAGUUCAUCCUGCACAGUUUUCUCGGCAAGCUGGAACUUCCAGUUAUACUGGUUGUAUAUUUAUGGGUUAUAGACUUAUAGUUGAAAUUUUCAAAUGAUUAGGUAUUUUUGCAGUUGUAGUUGGAUAUACAAGUGCCUAAAACUGAAGUCGGCACUUCUUCACUAGAAGCUAUGUUCACUAGCUUGAUUUCUCCUAUGAGAUGUAGAAUUUUUAUUUCCGCUACAUUGUUGUAGUUUCCUUUUUUGCUGUAGCUGCUUAUCUAUCAGAGUAUCUAUGCAUGUGUGGGUUUAUGUUUCAUUAACUGUCCUAUAAAUAAUCUGAAUUUCUUUCAA